rnacentral:lncRNA from 1 species
UUCUGUGUAUUAGCAGGUUUAUUUUCAGAGUUAUAGAAGUCCUCAUGUAAAAGCUCUCAAGUUAUUAUAAUUUCAGGGACAAAUAUUAAGUACAUAAGAAAACCUCUCAGAUAUUAUAGGCUUUGAUUGCAGUGUGAAUGGCUGACUUGAAACUGACAUCAACUACUUCUUGGGGAAGACAGCUCAACACAAAAAGGAUGUUUCUGUCCAGCUAAAAACAAGAACUGCUCUGUUCUUGAAGCCCUAUAAGCCGAAGCUGAACAACUCAAUAUAAAUUUCAAGGGACAAGUCUCAGUUCUGAUGUGUGAGCUACAUAGAGUUUACCAGAACACCCCAUGCCACAACUAGAGACAUUCAAACUGCAAACUAGGACAAGAAGUUGCCAACUUCAUACUGUGAAAAGCUAUUUCCAAGAUUCUCAGAA